GACGAACGCUGGCGGCGUGCUUAACACAUGCAAGUCGAACGGAAAGGCCCUGCUUUUGUGGGGUGCUCGAGUGGCGAACGGGUGAGUAACACGUGAGUAACCUGCCCUUGACUUUGGGAUAACUUCAGGAAACUGGGGCUAAUACCGGAUAGGAGCUCCUGCUGCAUGGUGGGGGUUGGAAAGUUUCGGCGGUUGGGGAUGGACUCGCGGCUUAUCAGCUUGUUGGUGGGGUAGUGGCUUACCAAGGCUUUGACGGGUAGCCGGCCUGAGAGGGUGACCGGCCACAUUGGGACUGAGAUACGGCCCAGACUCCUACGGGAGGCAGCAGUGGGGAAUAUUGCACAAUGGGCGGAAGCCUGAUGCAGCAACGCCGCGUGCGGGAUGACGGCCCUCGGGUUGUAAACCGCUUUCGCCUGUGACGAAGCGUGAGUGACGGUAAUGGGUAAGAAAGCACCGGCUAACUACGUG
rnacentral:rRNA from 1 species